UUGGAGGGCAAGUCUGGUGCCAGCAGCCGCGGUAAUUCCAGCUCCAAUAGCGUAUAUUAAAGUUGUUGCAGUUAAAAAGCUCGUAGUUGAAUUUCGGAAUUUUUUUAUCGGUUGAAUCAACAGGUUCGUACUGAUUUUAAGAAUUUCUACCUUCUGGAGAACCUUAAUGUCAUUUAUUUGAUGUUUUGGGAAACCAGGACUGUUACCUUGAAAAAAUUAGAGUGUUUAAAGCAGGCUUAUGUCUGAAUAUAUUAGCAUGGAAUAAUGAAAUAGGACGGCAUGGUUCUAUUUUGUUGGUUUCUAGGAUCACCGUAAUGAUUAAUAGGGAUAGUUGGGGGCAUUAGUAUUCAAUUGUCAGAGGUGAAAUUCUUGGGUUUAUUGAAGACUAACUUCUGCGAAAGCAUUUGCCAAGGAUGUUUUCAUUAAUCAAGAACGAAAGUUAGGGGAUCGAAGACGAUCAGAUACCGUCGUAGUCUUAACCAUAAACUAUGCCGACUAGGAAUCGGACGAAGUUAAUUUUUUAAUGACUCGUUCGGCGCCUUACGGGAAAC
rnacentral:rRNA from 1 species